GACGAGUGGCGGACGGGUGAGUAAUGUCUGGGAAACUGCCUGAUGGAGGGGGAUAACUACUGGAAACGGUAGCUAAUACCGCAUAACGUCGCAAGACCAAAGAGGGGGACCUUCGGGCCUCUUGCCAUCGGAUGUGCCCAGAUGGGAUUAGCUAGUAGGUGGGGUAACGGCUCACCUAGGCGACGAUCCCUAGCUGGUCUGAGAGGAUGACCAGCCACACUGGAACUGAGACACGGUCCAGACUCCUACGGGAGGCAGCAGUGGGGAAUAUUGCACAAUGGGCGCAAGCCUGAUGCAGCCAUGCCGCGUGUAUGAAGAAGGCCUUCGGGUUGUAAAGUACUUUCAGCGGGGAGGAAGGGAGUAAAGUUAAUACCUUUGCUCAUUGACGUUACCCGCA
rnacentral:rRNA from 1 species